rnacentral:rRNA from 1 species
AUUGAACGCUGGCGGCAGGCCUAACACAUGCAAGUCGAGCGGAUGAAGGGAGCUUGCUCCUGGAUUCAGCGGCGGACGGGUGAGUAAUGCCUAGGAAUCUGCCUGGUAGUGGGGGAUAACGUCCGGAAACGGGCGCUAAUACCGCAUACGUCCUGAGGGAGAAAGUGGGGGAUCUUCGGACCUCACGCUAUAAGAUGAGCCUAGGUCGGAUUAGCUAGUUGGUGGGGUAAAGGCCUACCAAGGCGACGAUCCGUAACUGGUCUGAGAGGAUGAUCAGUCACACUGGAACUGAGAAACGGUCCAGACUCCUACGGGAGGCAGCAGUGGGGAAUAUUGGACAAUGGGCGAAAGCCUGAUCCAGCCAUGCCGCGUGUGUGAAGAAGGUCUUCGGAUUGUAAAGCACUUUAAGUUGGGAGGAAGGGCAGUAAGUUAAUACCUUGCUGUUUGGACGUUACCAACAGAAUAAGCACCGGCUAACUUCGU